UUGAACGCUGGCGGCAUGCUUUACACAUGCAGGUCGAACGGCAGCGCGGGCUUCGGCCUGGCGGCGAGUGGCGAACGGGUGAGUAAUACAUCGGAACGUGCCCAGUAGUGGGGGAUAGCUCGGCGAAAGCCGGAUUAAUACCGCAUACGACCUGAGGGUGAAAGCGGGGGAUCUUCGGACCUCGCGCUAUUGGAGCGGUCGAUGGCAGAUUAGCUAGUUGGUGGGGUAAAGGCCUACCAAGGCGACGAUCUGUAGCUGGUCUGAGAGGACGACCAGCCACACUGGGACUGAGACACGGCCCAGACUCCUACGGGAGGCAGCAGUGGGGAAUUUUGGACAAUGGGCGAAAGCCUGAUCCAGCAAUGCCGCGUGUGUGAUGAAGGCCUUCGGGUUGUAAAGCACUUUUGGCGGGAACGAAAAGGACUGUGCCAAUACCACGGUUCGAUGACGGUACCCGCAGAAUAAGCACCGGCUAACUACGUG
rnacentral:rRNA from 1 species